ensembl:piRNA 21ur-7052 ncRNA
UUUCUUGAUUUUCUAUGAUUA